UACGUAGGGGGCGAGCGUUGUCCGGAAUUAUUGGGCGUAAAGAGCGUGUAGGCGGUUCGGUAAGUCUGUCGUGAAAUCCUGGGGCUCAACCUCGGGCGUGCGAUGGAUACUGCCGGGCUAGAGGGUGGUAGAGGCGAGUGGAAUUCCUGGUGUAGCGGUGGAAUGCGCAGAUAUCAGGAGGAACACCAAUAGCGAAGGCAGCUCGCUGGGACGGUACUGACACUGAGGCGCGAAAGCGUGGGGAGCGAACAGG
rnacentral:rRNA from 1 species